UUUGGCCCAGAACCUUACGCUCCAUAAAGUGGAGACCCUCCCCGACCUCUUCCAACGAGCUCAAUCGUUCAUUGAGAUAGAAGAGGAGAACAAUAAUAAGCUGGACGGAGUCGAGCCGCCCAGCCGGAAAAAACCUCGCUAUGAAGAUACAUACGAGGAUACAAGUUCCCAGUCUGAAACCUCGACUAGUCCUCCUCGGUACAGAGAGGAGCUUCUCAUCAACAGUUAUGACCAACAUAGUCAUCACUCACACUCUCAGUCUGGUAACAGUUAUGGCCACGAAAGCCAUAGCUCACACUCUCAGUCUGGUAACAGUUAUGGCCACAAAAGCCAUAG
rnacentral:lncRNA from 1 species